rnacentral:lncRNA from 1 species
UCUAACUUUUUCGAGUUCCCUGCUAAAUUCUGCACUCAGUCGUCGUUCCUGUUCGACGAGGGCUGUGUUGAUUGCGCCUUCUACUAACGCUUUUAUCAUGGCUGGGUCCAUUUUAAAUUGAUUCUGCACUGUUCUGACUGGUGGCUGGUACAAUAAGUCUAGGCUCUCGUCGCUGUCGUAUUCGACCUUGUUUCUGUAGUCCCAACUCAUAAACGAUCAGCGAAGGGGAGAUCAAAAUUCUCUCACAAGCUUUAUUUUUUCCGAACAGUCACUUACAUGUUAUUUUUCUUGGGGACGUGGAUCCUAAAUCCCGUUGGGCGCCAAUUAACUUUAUGUCGUUUUUGGUCCGAGCUGCGGUAUGCGUUGCGUUGGCUCCGGCGGCAGCGAUCGGGUUCCCGUGGCCCGCUCUUGUAGCGGGGGACGGUGGUUGCGGUUGGCAACUGAGUCUUCUACCGAAGAUUAUGUUGAGAGGGUAAUUGCCCUCUAUUUCGUUGGCCCUUAAGGCUCAACAAUAUGAUUAUAUCAAUACACGUUUUACGACUCGUGUCGGAGUUGAUAUGAACGCUCCGUUCAUUUAUU